rnacentral:rRNA from 1 species
ACGGGUGAGUAAUGUCUGGGAAACUGCCCGAUGGAGGGGGAUAACUACUGGAAACGGUAGCUAAUACCGCAUAACGUCUUCGGACCAAAGUGGGGGACCUUCGGGCCUCACACCAUCGGAUGUGCCCAGAUGGGAUUAGCUAGUAGGUGGGGUAACGGCUCACCUAGGCGACGAUCCCUAGCUGGUCUGAGAGGAUGACCAGCCACACUGGAACUGAGACACGGUCCAGACCCCUACGGGAGGCAGCAGUGGGGAAUAUUGCACAAUGGGCGCAAGCCUGAUGCAGCCAUGCCGCGUGUAUGAAGAAGGCCUUCGGGUUGUAAAGUACUUUCAGCGGGGAGGAAGGCGAUGUGGUUAAUAACCGCGUCGAUUGACGUUACCCGCAGAAGAAGCACCGGCUAACUCCGUGCCAGCAGCCGCGGUAAUACGGAGGGUGCAAGCGUUAAUCGGAAUUACUGGGCGUAAAGCGCACGCAGGCGGUCUGUCAAGUCGGAUGUGAAAUCCCCGGGCUUAACCUGGGAACUGCAUUCGAAACUGGCAGGCUUGAGUCUCGUAGAGGGGGGUAGAAUUCCAGGUGUAGC